AUUAUGAUGACAUCAAAAACAUGUCUAAAUGACAGGAUCCCACUCCAACUGUUUCUACCACACAGCCAGUAGCUUCAAAUGAAGGUGAUUCUAAUAUUCUCUAGAGAGAACCUUUUUGUUGUGUUUUGAUAUUCGUUUUUCUCAAUUGAGACCAUGAUAAUGUCUCUGGUCAUUAGACUUAUGACAUUGCUGCUUUGAUUUCUUGAUGAUAUAUGAGAAAGUGAAAUCUUCAUCAACUACUCAAGCACUGUCUGCAUCGCAAAAUCUGCAGUCUGCAUCAGCUCAACAGAGUAAUACCAUGAGAAAAAUGGGAUAUUUUUCUCAUUUCCAU
rnacentral:lncRNA from 1 species